UACGUAGGGUGCGAGCGUUAAUCGGAAUUACUGGGCGUAAAGCGUGCGCAGGCGGUUCGCCAAGUCAGGUGUGAAAUCCCCGGGCUUAACCUGGGAAUUGCGCUUGAAACUAGCGGGCUUGAGUGUGGCAGAGGGGGGUGGAAUUCCACGUGUAGCAGUGAAAUGCGUAGAUAUGUGGAGGAACACCGGUGGCGAAGGCGGCGACCUGGGUCGAGACUGACGCUGAGGCGCGAAAGCGUGGGGAGCAAACAGG
rnacentral:rRNA from 1 species